rnacentral:rRNA from 1 species
GACGAACCGUGCGAACGUUGUUCGGAUUCACUGGGCUUAAAGGGUGUGUAGGCGGUCUGCCAAGUCAGGGGUGAAAUCUUUCGGCUCAACCGGAAAACUGCCUUUGAUACUGGCAGGCUCGAGCGGGGUAGGGGUUGCGGGAACUACCAGUGGAGCGGUGAAAUGCGUUGAUAUUGGUAGGAACGCCGGUGGCGAAAGCGCGCAACUGGACCUCUUCUGACGCUGAGGAGCGAAAGCCAGGGGAGCAAACGGG